GUGAACGCUGGCGGUAGGCCUAACACAUGCAAGUCGAACGGCAGCACAGUAAGAGCUUGCUCUUACGGGUGGCGAGUGGCGGACGGGUGAGGAAUACAUCGGAAUCUACUUUUUCGUGGGGGAUAACGUAGGGAAACUUACGCUAAUACCGCAUACGACCUACGGGUGAAAGCAGGGGAUCUUCGGACCUUGCGCGAUUGAAUGAGCCGAUGUCGGAUUAGCUAGUUGGCGGGGUAAAGGCCCACCAAGGCGACGAUCCGUAGCUGGUCUGAGAGGAUGAUCAGCCACACUGGAACUGAGACACGGUCCAGACUCCUACGGGAGGCAGCAGUGGGGAAUAUUGGACAAUGGGCGCAAACCUGAUCCAGCCAUACCGCGUGGGUGAAGAAGGCCUUCGGGUUGUAAAGCCCUUUUGUUGGGAAAGAAAAGCAGCAGGUUAAUACCCCGCUGUUCUGACGGUACCCAAAGAAUAAGCACCGGCUAACUUCGUG
rnacentral:rRNA from 1 species